rnacentral:lncRNA from 1 species
CUGCCUCCAGGGCAAGAUUCAUGACAAUAAAGUCUUCCCCGUGGCUCAGUUUGUAGAGCAUGGUGUGUGCAACGCCAGGGUUGUGGGUUCGAUUCCCACGGGGGCCAGUACAAUUAUUAUUUUUUUUAAAUGUAUGAAAUUUAUACAUUCACGACUGUAAGUCGCUCUGGAUAAGAGCGUCUGCUAAAUGACUAAAAUGUAAAUGUAAAAUGUAAUUCAUGACAAUAAAUGCCAACCUGCCUCCCAGUCGUCCCCUCCUUAUCUUUACAAGGCUGCAGAACAUGCAAGCUAGUGAUGUGGGGGUUCUCUCAUAACCCUCAGUCCCCAGGUGGGUAGAUGGCAGGUUGAAUAAAGAGAAGCUAGUGAUGUGGGGGUUCUCUCAUAACCCUCAGUCCCCAGGUGGGUAGAUGGCACGUUGAAUAAAUAGAAGCUUGUGAUGUGGGGGUUCUCUCAUAACCCUCAGUCCCCAGGUGGGUAGAUGGCAGGUUGAAUAAAUAGAAGCUUGUGAUGUGGGGGGGUUCUCUCAUAACCCUCAGUCCCCAGGUGGGUAGAUGGCAGGUUGAAUAAAGAGAAGCUGGUGAUGUGGGGGUUCUCUCAUAACCCUCAGUCCCCAGGUGGGUAGAUGGCAGGUUGAAUAAAGAGAAGCUAGUGAUGUGGGGGUUCUCUCAUAACCCUCAGUCCCCAGGUGGGUAGAUGGCAGGUUGAAUAAAGAGAAGCUAGUGAUGUGGGGGUUCUCUCAUAACCCUCAGUCCCCAGGUGGGUAGAUGGCAG